UUGGUAAUUAGUUUAAUUAAAAUUAAUGAUUUCGACUCAUUGGAUCAUGGUAAAUACCAUGAUUACCA
rnacentral:tRNA from 1 species